CAAGCUGUCAUGGAAUUAAAAUCAUUCUGAUGAUGCUUUUGACUUGUGGGGGGCGAGGAGCUCUCGUGACAGUAACUAAUGAAUCCCCAAAGGCCCCUUCUCUUUUCCCACUCAUCCCAUCUGGGGACAACUCAAGAACCACAGAUGUCACCAUCGGAUGUCUCGCCAAGAAUUUCCUGCCAGAUUCAAUCGAUUUCUCUUGGAAUAACCCAAGCAACGAGAGCAUUGGCAACCAGAACUACGUGAAAUUCCCAUCUAUCUUGUCGGGUGGGAUGUACACAGCCGCUUCUCAGGCUAAAGUCCCCCGGAAUACGUGGGAUCUUUACAAACCAUUCUAUUGCAAAGCCAAGCACCCACAGGGCGACAAAGUGAUCUCCGUUACUCGACAAUAUGGGGGACCGUCGGUAAGAGAGCCUUCGAUGCUCAUCCGGGCACCAGUGCUGGAUGCCUUUUCAAGUAUCUACCUAAAUUCCACCGUUUCCUGUGAAAUUAGCGACCUCUGCUCUGGAAACGUCGUUGUCUCUUGGCUUAGGGAGCAACGAGAAGUCACCACCGGUGUCACUACCUCCAAACCCAUCCCAAAUGGCCGUGGGGGAUACACUGUUUGGAGCAGACUUGUUAUCACCAAGGAAGACUGGUUUUCUGAAAAGAAGUUUGCCUGUAAAGUGACAAGCAAGGACUUCAAUCAUGAAGAGCCAUUCAGCUUGCUAUCUUUCUGCAAAAGUGGUGGCUGUUUACCUGUUACUGUGGAAACCAUCCCCCCAACUUUUGCCGACAUGUUCCUGACCAACUCUGCCAACCUGACUUGCAGAAUCUCCAAUAUCCCUAUCGAAGCAGACUAUUCCAAGUUGAACGUCACCUGGACGCGGGCCUCGGACCACAAGCAACUCCACACUGUGAUGACCAGUUUCUUAGGCCAGGGAAAUGAAUUUUACUACGCCGACGCUAUAGCCACAGUGUGUGCAACGGAAUGGAAGGAGAAUGAAAUCUUUACCUGCAAAGUGACCUUUGAGGACGUACUUGUCAAGCCAGUAGAAAAAACUCUGGAGAAGAAGACUGUUGGCGAACCAAAAGCUCCCUUAGUCUACGUCCUUCCGCCUUCCCCAGAAGAGGUGAAUUUGCGGGAAAAAAUAACCAUCACGUGCUUCAUUAAGAACUUCAAUCCCGGCAACUUCUUUAUGCGAUGGCUCCAGAAUGAACAGGCAAUCAGUGAAUCGGCUUACUUCACCAGCAAAGCCAUAGCAGAGUCCAAAAUACAAUCCAAUGAGUAUUUUGCCUACAGCAUGUUGACUGUCAACGAACAGGAAUGGAGCGCAGGAGACUCCUUCACUUGCGUGGUGGGACAUGAAGCCUUUCCCUUCGGCUCCAUUCAGAAGACUAUCAAUAAGAACACGGAAGCUGACCUUCAUGUAUUGUCCAAAGGUUACGUAGAUGGAAUUGUGGACACGGAGGACGAAGAAGAAUACCAAAACAUCUCGUCGAUCCUUUCCACUUUCAUCAUCCUCUUCCUAGUGAGCCUCUUCUACAGCGCCACAGUGACAGUCAUUAAGGUGAAAUAAAGAGACAGAGGCCGUUCUUCUACAUCUACUUCUUUAAAAGAAGAAAGGAUUUAUUUGAGAGGAGGUGGAAUUUUUUUUACCUUGCUUUGUAUCAUAGCCUUAAGAGUCCAUGUGAGCUGGAACAGCCUGGUUGUUUACAGUUUAGCUCCAUGGUGAAAUGUUGCAUCAUUUUCUGUGUGAUGUAUAUAUCUUUGUCGAUACUUCUCGGUGUCUCAAUUAUGAUCAUUGUUUAAUCAUUGUUAUGAUGAUGAUUAUUUUUUUGUCAGAAUGGUCUACCUUAUCUGAUACCCUAAAGGGGAACUUUCAGCACUUUUAAUCUUCAUGUAAAACAGACAGGGGAUUCGCUGCACAAUUUGUAUUAAUUAAAAUGUAUUUUUUUUAAUAUUG